GGGGGCGUAGCCCAACGGCAGAGGCAGAGCGCUUAAACCGCUUCCAGUGAGGGUUCGAAUCCCUCCGCCCCCA
rnacentral:tRNA from 1 species